UUGACCCUUCUGGGAUUUUUGAUUGUGAACAUUUUCACAGUUUGUAAAGCACGUAGCUGAAUCGCUUUUCCGAAGAGCUGUGCCAGUCUCUACUCCAAUCAGCAAUAGAACAGCCCAAAUGGACCAAGACGGCUGAAUUAAAACUUGUGUCUUAUCGUUGCUGCUAACCUUGGUAAGGAAGAUGUCCUGGAGAAACCAGAGCACUUCUUCGCAGAGCUAAACACACACAGCUGGCCCAGGAAUCAGAUUUUUCUGAAGGAGGAUCCAGGAGCAGGUGGAGCGGUUGCAGACCUGGCCCAUCACUGCUUCACGCCAACACGCUAACUCAUGGGCUCCUGCGAGAUACGAAUUGUGUUUUAGUGGAAGAGUGCUCGCUCACAGAAGAAAUCAUGAGAGGUAGCUUCCCUGGAUUGGCACUUACGUCUGCAGCCCACUAAUAUCAAGUAAACAGCUGAAGCCAAGAUCAAGAAUUGUCAUUAUCCACCAUGUGAAAUAUUAA